CAAAAUCCUGUGAAAGAAAAUGAGAGAUGAGUCACAUUGUAAUCCAUGUGAGCAGGAUUUCACCAUCAUCUGCUACCCAGUGCUGGUGCUCAGUGUGUACCAGAAGGCAAGCCCUCCAUUCAGAGAACACCUUGUAGUGGUUUUUACUGGAGCUUUGCACUGGAGCUGUGCUCUGUAGCUGUGUUGGGAAAAAUGGUUAGCUGAACUGCAGCCAAAGAAGCUUACUCUGGGAUCUGAAGAAAGAAUAGCUGGGAGCAGACACUGCACAUCUGAGUACCUGCACAUCUUUCGGGGUGCUUCAGAAGGUCUUUAUGGGAAAGAUGUUAAGCGUUUUAUGUGGGAGACAGUUUGGAGGCAGCAGUACAGUUUAUGAAGCAAUAUCCUCCUAUCCACUGCAGAAUGCAGCAAUCUACUGCACUGUUGCACACUUGUGUUACAGUAGCCUUGGCUAUGUGGACAUAGCCUUGCCUUUUAGAAGCUGUAGACCUGAGCAUAGAGGAAUGAGAACACUGAGAAGGAUUACUUUAUCAAGUCCUGCUGUCACCCAAAGGCUCAUCACUGCAAAGCUGAGGAGUCUCAAUUCAUGACUUUAAACAGACUCUCGGCUUUCCUAGGGUAUGGUAUCCUCUCCUUAAGCAGUAACUUACUGAAAUAUCCAUGCCAAGCACCAAAUGGGUUGGAAGGAUGCUGAGUGUACCUUCGCCAUUCUUCUCACUGCUGAAUUUAUUAGUGGUUUACUAUAAAGAGAAUAUACAGUGGAUAAAGAGAAGUCCUUAAAAAUGUUCGCAAUGAAGCAGAAAGAAUGAAAGAUAACUUUUCUCAGAAAAAGAGGAUCUUGCCCUUGGAAGUUUACUUUCCUGAGUUAAAUACCAUGCUCUGCUGGCUGAGGUCCCACUGGCCCCUGCCUUUUGCACCUUUCAUAGAAUCAUAGAAGAUCCCAAGUUGGAAGGGACCCAGAAGGAUCAUCAAGUCCAAACUUUUCCUACUCUUCCUUCCCCUUUGGCAAAGAUGUGCCUUUGACUCCACGGGUACUGAUGUGAGGGGCUUGGACUAUAGAUUUUCCUCCUUAUUUGAGAGGUAAAACUACCAGUGUGAUUCAAAACUAUAAGUGCCAAAAUCUGAUGAGAAAAUUUUAUCAGAUAUAUGUUUUGAUUGUUGUGACUCAGUCUGAAAGAUCUCAG
rnacentral:lncRNA from 1 species